GCUGUGGUGGGCUCCACCCAGUUCGAGCUUCCCAGCUGCUUUGUUUAUCUAAGCAAGCCUGGGCAAUGGUGGGCGCCCCUCCUCCAGCCUCGCUGCCGCCUUGCAGUUUGAUCUCAGACUGCUGUGCUAGCAAUCAGUGGGACUCCGUGGGCGUAGGACCCUCCGAGCCAGGUGUGGGAUAUAAUCUUGUGGUGCGCCAUUUUUUAAGCCUGUCGGAAAAGCGCAGUAUUGGGGUGGGAGUGACGCGAUUUUCUUGGAGCCGUCCGUCACCCCUUUCUUUGACUAGGAAAGGGAACUCCCUGACCCCUUGCGCUUCCCGAGUGAGGCAAUGCCUCGCCCUGCUUCGGCUGGCGCACGGUGGGCACACCCACUGACCUGCGCCCACUGUCUGGCACUCCCUAGUGAGAUGAACCCGUUACCUCAGAUGGAAAUGCAGAAAUCACCCGUCUUCUGAGUCGCUCACGCUGGGAGCUGUAGACCGGAGCUGUUCCUAUUUGGCCAUCUUGGCUCCUCAAAUAAGUUGUCUGUUUCUUUGAAAUCUCCCAAGGGGUUUGUGAAGGUACAUUUCAGAAGAUUUCGAAGUCCUGAGCGCUUAGCCGUGCAGGAACAAUGUUAUGAAGACCAGAAAUCUAAAAUAAAGGUGUUGGCAAGACCAUGUCCUCUCUGCAGCCUCUUGGGAAGAAUCCUUCCUUGCCUCCUCCUCUUCUGGUGGUUCUCAUUAUUCCUUGGCUUAUGGCAGUGGGAGAUAUGAAAUUAACCAGGAAUGGUGAAUUUCACAAUAAAAAACACGAAGGGAUGCUUCCUAGACCUACAAAGGGGGAGACAGUGCACGGAUACCACAAACUUCACGUGCACUGAUAGGACAAUAAACAAAUGCCUCCCAAGAGAUGUUACAUGGACAAGAAGGGCACAAAGAAGUUUAUACUUCCUGCUCUAGAUUAAUUGUAUCCCGAUACAACACAGGAAGGACAUGGGCUUGAAAUGAACAGACUUGGGCCCAGAUUCUAGCUCCAUCAUUUGCUUCUUUAUCCAGAGCCUCCAAUUCAUUUGCCUUCCAGAGUUUCUGCAGUGAUCAGCAAAACCAUCUGACACAGGGGACCACACAGCGGGAACUCAAUAAAUGCUAAUUCCUUCUCUCAUCCUGUUGCAGAGUCAGCCCAAACCUCUCUCCAAUAUCUUCUACAGGGAAAAGAUCUCUUGGGCUCACCCAGGCUGGGCUGUGGUGUGCAAUUCUUCAUUAAGAGAUAUGAAGAGCCCAGAAAUGGAAAAGCUGGAAUAAAGGAAUGCAGAGUGGGGCUGCCUGUUUUGUUCCUUUUGCAAACACACACAAACAUGAUGAUGGGGAGCAGCACCAGGGACAUGUCAAAGAUGACAGCAGCACUGGUCAGGUGCAAAUUGCCCUUCGAAAAAUGCCUAAGGCAGCACAGCUUUUGGCAGUCUUUUUUUUUUUUCUUUUCUAAUCAAGGCAAAGAUUUCUCUAAAAAAGCACAUAGUAAAGGAAGCCAAAGGAAUGUUAGUGCCUGUCUCUAGAAGCCACAUUUAUCUAUUUUUAGUCCCCAGCAAAGCCCAGUACACUGUAAUCAGUAUAAUAACAUGCUGUCUUUCAUAAAGACAGAUGACACAGUUGACCUUCAGUCCCCAUCUGGACACAGGACGUGUGCUGUGGGUUGUUUUGUCAGCUGUGGGCUUGGAUUAUUUGUCUGUACCCUCUCAUCUAGUUUGGAUCAGAACCAGGCAUUUUCAGGAAGACUAGAAAAUAUGAGUGUGGGGUCAACUGGACCUCUGAAAAAAGAAUUGGUAGAUGUGAAGUCUGAAGGCAUCAUGGGUGGAAUUAGUAUGGAAUUUUGCUCAAGUUACUUACUUCUGUAAAGACCUACUGGCCCCUUAUACUUUGUGGAAUAAAAUCUUCACCUUGAUCUUUUUCACCCAAGUUGGUAACUCAAUGCAGUCUUCCUGCUGGACCACUUCCUCAAUCUUGGGACAUCAAAUAUAUACUCUCAACCUCCUUGAACACAAUAAAACUUAACUUUCUCCAGG
rnacentral:lncRNA from 1 species